UACGGAGGAUCCAAGCGUUAUCCGGAUUUAUUGGGUUUAAAGGGUGCGUAGGCGGCUUGUUAAGUUCAGGGUGAAAGCUCCCGGCUCAACUGGGAGAGGUCCUUGGAUACUGGCAGACUUGAGGAGGGUAGAGGAGAGUGGAAUUCCCGGUGUAGUGGUGAUAUGCGUAGAUAUCGGGAGGAACACCAGUGGCGAAGGCGGCUCUCUGGGCCCUACCUGACGCUGAGACGCGAAAGCGUGGGGAGCGAACCGG
rnacentral:rRNA from 1 species